GGGCCGUUAGCUCAGUUGGCUAGAGCGCUACAUUUGCAAUGUAGAGGUCGUGGGUUCGAAUCCCACACGGUCCACCA
rnacentral:tRNA from 1 species